UUACUACUUCCAAGUAGUUUUCUUCUAUUGCCAGGUAGCCUGGGCCACUCCCCUCAGCUACUAUUUGUUCCUUACGCAGCAUGAGUUGUACCUCCGGGGUUCCUGUGAGCAUUUUAUCACUGUCACAGUCUCAAUGCAUAAAGAGAGAGAGACAAAAGGUGAACGCCAUUGCUCUCUGUCUCAAAUUAAGAGAGAGAGAAAGAGAGAGAGAGGAGAGAGAGUCUCUUUGAUAAGCAGAAGACUUGCCUUCGAAAAAGCGAUCAAUGCCGGUUCUUUAAUACCUUCUUUUCCCUUCCAAAGAAUCAAUUCCUGUAUCGAUUUGUUGCUUGAUUGAACAUUUUUUUUGUUCUUCUUUCUGGAUUGUUGGAUUAAUUGACAUAAAAAUCGGAUUUAAUUCCCCUUAAUCUGCGCCGCUAGAGGUGAAGGGGAAGUAUCCGAUUUACGAAAUCUACGUUUACCUCAAAUUUUGCGAAGAAAUUACUACACUACGUUCCAAUAUGAGCUGGAAUCCGCCGAUGGAAGUUCACUACCAAAACCAUUCGAUGCCCUACAAUUCAAUUGGAAGCUUCGUGGAUUUUUUCGGAGGUCUUACUUAUGAACACAUGAAUUACAUUUUCGCGGAUGCCGAUUAUGUUCAGGAUAAUGCUUACAAUCCUUACCCAGGAACAAAUACCAGUUUAUACAAAUUUGCAGUAUCCGAACCAGGGAGUUUUUCGUACUAUGAAUAUGGCAACGGCUACGUGGUCGAUAAUCAUAUUCCAGAGAGCGAUGAAUAUAUCGGGCAUAUGAGCAGCCUAAUGACAGAUGAUCAGGCUACUGUUUCACAUGCACACCACGAAAGAAAUUCGAACUCCACUUCUCAUUCUCGACCAAUCGAGUGUCCUCGAAAUCAUCAGGAUGCUCCUGAUAACGAGGUUGUUUGGCAAGACAACAUCGAUCCCGACAACAUGACAUAUGAGGAGUUACUCGAACUGGGCGAGGCAGUUGGGACUCAAAGCAGGGGUCUUUCACAAAAUCAAAUUGCAUUGCUUCCAACGUCGAAGUUCAAGUGUGGCUUAUUUUCAAGAAGGAAAUUCAGAGGUGAAAGGUGUGUAAUAUGCCAAAUGGAGUAUAAACGAGGCGAUAGGCGAAUUACUCUUCCAUGUAAACAUUUAUACCAUACUGGCUGUGGGAGCAGAUGGCUUAGUAUCAAUAAGGCUUGUCCGAUUUGUUACAAGGAUGUGGUUGUUGAUAUUCCAAAGCGCUGAAAGAUGUACUCUUCUCAGCAAAUGGCGGUGGAUUCAUUCUUUUCCAUUUUUAUUAAGGUUUAUAGUGUUUCCUUACAACUUUCUGCUUUGGUUUACUAUUUGGUUUUCUAUACGUAUAAGUGUCCUUGUUCUGUCCAUUUAUGUUGUUAGAAGUUCUGCAUUGAUCGUAAACAAGAUUGGUUACGUCACUUUUGAUUGGUUACGUAUAUGGCUUUUAUAUUAAAAAUGAUUCAGGAAUUU